CCUACGGGAUGCACCAGUGGGGAAUUUUGGACAAUGGGCGCAAGCCUGAUCCAGCAAUGCCGCGUGAGUGAAGAAGGCCUUCGGGCUGUAAAGCUCUUUUGUCAGGGAAGAAACGGCGGAGGCUAAUAUCCUUUGCUAAUGACGGUACCUGAAGAAUAAGCACCGGCUAACUACGUGCCAGCAGCCGCGGUAAUACGUAGGGUGCAAGCGUUAAUCGGAAUUACUGGGCGUAAAGCGUGCGCAGGCAGUUUUGUAAGUCUGACGUGAAAGCCCCUGGCUCAACCUGGGAAUUGCGUUGGAGACUGCAAGGCUUGAAUCUGGCAGAGGGGGGUAGAAUUCCACGUGUAGCAGUGAAAUGCGUAGAGAUGUGGAGGAACACCGAUGGCGAAGGCAGCCCCCUGGGUCAAGAUUGUCGCUCAUGCACGAAAGCGUGGGGAGCAAACAGGAUUAGAUACCCCGGUAGUC
rnacentral:rRNA from 1 species